rnacentral:rRNA from 1 species
AUUGAACGCUGGCGGCAGGCCUAACACAUGCAAGUCGAGCGAGCGGCGGACGGGUGAGUAAUGUCUGGGAAACUGCCUGAUGGAGGGGGAUAACUACUGGAAACGGUAGCUAAUACCGCAUACCAUCAGAUGUACCCAGAUGGGAUGAGCUUGUAGGUGGGGUAAUGGCUCACCUAGGCGACGAUCCCUAGCUGGUCUGAGAGGAUGACCAGCCACACUGGGACGGAGACACGGUCCAGACUCCUACGGGAGGCAGCAGUGGGGAAUAUUGCACAAUGGGCGCAAGCCUGAUGCAGCCAUGCCGCGUGUAUGAAGAAGGCCUUCGGGUUGUAAAGCACUUUCAGUCGGGAUGCGUUACCCACAGAAGAAGCACCGGCUAACUCCGUGCCAGCAGCCGCGGUAAUUC